CCUAGGGUGGGCAGCAGUGGGGAAUAUUGGACAAUGGGCGAAAGCCUGAUCCAGCCAUGCCGCGUGUGUGAAGAAGGCCUUCGGGUUGUAAAGCACUUUCAGUGGGGAAGAAAGCCUUGGGGCUAAUACCCUCGAGGAAGGACAUCACCCACAGAAGAAGCACCGGCUAACUCCGUGCCAGCAGCCGCGGUAAUACGGAGGGUGCGAGCGUUAAUCGGAAUUACUGGGCGUAAAGCGCGCGUAGGCGGUCUGAUAAGCCGGUUGUGAAAGCCCCGGGCUCAACCUGGGAACGGCAUCCGGAACUGUCAGGCUAGAGUGCAGGAGAGGAAGGUAGAAUUCCCGGUGUAGCGGUGAAAUGCGUAGAGAUCGGGAGGAAUACCAGUGGCGAAGGCGGCCUUCUGGACUGACACUGACGCUGAGGUGCGAAAGCGUGGGUAGCAAACAGGAUUAGAUACCCCGGUAGUC
rnacentral:rRNA from 1 species